rnacentral:rRNA from 1 species
AAUCUUCCACAAUGGACGAAAGCCUGAUGGAGCAACGCCGCGUGAGUGAAGAAGGUUUUCGGAUCGUAAAGCUCUGUUGGAAGGGAAGAACACGUACAGGAGUAACUGCCUGUACCUUGACGGUACCCUAACAGAAAGCCACGGCUAACUACGUGCCAGCAGCCGCGGUAAUACGUAGGGGGCAAGCGUUGUGCGGAAUUAUUGGGCGGAAAGCGGGCGGAGGCGGUCCUUUAAGUCUGAUGGGAAAGCCCACGGCUCAACCGUGGAGGGUCAUUGGAAACUGGAGGACUUGGGUACAGAAGGGGGAAGCGGAAUUCCACGUGUAGCGGUGAAAUGCGUAGAGAUGUGGAGGGACACCAGUGGCGGAGGCGGCUUUCUGGUCUGUAACUGACGCUGAGGCGCGAAAGCGUGGGGAGCAAACAG